GGGGGCGUAAUGAGAUUAAGGGCCGCAGUAUCUUAACUGUGCAAAGGUAGCAUAAUCAUUAGUUUUUUAAUUGAAAGCUGGUAUGAAUGGUUUGAUGAAAAAAUAGCUGUUUCUAUAUUAAUAUUUUAUAAUUUUAUAUUUAAGUUAAAAAGCUUAAAUUUUUUUAAAAGACGAGAAGACCCUAUAGAGUUUAAUUAAUUAAUUAUUUUUUAAAAAAAGAAUUUAAUUUUAAAAAUUAAUUAAUAAAUUUGAUUGGGGUGAUUAAAAAAUUUAAUAAACUUUUUUUUUAUUUUAAUAUUUAUUUAUAAAUAUUUGAUCCAUAAAAAUGAUUAAAAGAUU
rnacentral:rRNA from 1 species